ACUUUGAAGAGAGAGUUCAAAAGGGCGUGAAACCGCUUAGAAUAAAACGGACGGAGCCGUCUGUAGCCCGUCGGAAUCAGUCCGGAUCGACGCGUGAAAGCGAGUACGACAUUGAAAAACGGAACGAAAGUCCGGUCGUCUCGUAGUAAAAAAAAGUAGCGCUCGUUCGAUGCAUUUCCGAAGGGUAAGCACCGCGACCGAUGUCGAAGGCUAGCGAAGCCGUCGGAUUGAGGUCGAGCUCGUUUACUCGAGUCUCGUUACCAGUCCUUCGGUACGAAUAGAAUUCGUUAGACCCUAGCAUCGAGAAUAAAAACGAACGAACGUCGGUGAACUAUAUACGCUCACCCGUUACGACGGACGUGCGGCCGUUCGAUCGUCGCCUGCCCGCAGGUUACGGUUUGAAUCCGGUUCGUAUCCGAAGUCGUCGGUGACGUUUCGGCGUUCGGGAGUCCGCGGUGUCCGAGUCGGUCACCCGUCCGACCCGUCUUGAAACACGGACCAAGGAGUCUAACGUAAGCGCGAGCUAAUGGGCGGAAAACCCAUAAGCGAAAUAAAAGUAAAGGUCGUUUUGGACGGCCGAGGUACGAUCCCGAAGAACGAAAGUAUCUACGGGCGCAGUACCGUCCCGUCCCGACCGCUUGUCGGUAGGGCGGAGAUAGAGUGCGUACGUUGGGACCCGAAAGAUGGUGAACUAUGCCUGAGCAGAGCGAAGCCAGAGGAAACUCUGGUGGAGGUUCGUAGCGGUUCUGACGUGCAAAUCGAUCGUCAGACUUGGGUAUAGGGGCGAAA
rnacentral:rRNA from 1 species